UACGUAGGGUGCGAGCGUUAAUCGGAAUUACUGGGCGUAAAGCGCGCGCAGGCGGUUCUGUAAGUCCUGGGUGAAAUCGCCCGGCUCAACUGUGCGGGGGCCUGGGGGACUGCGGGACUGGAGGGGCCUAGAGGCCGGUGGAACUCCCGGUGUAGUGGUGAAAUGCGUAGAGAUCGGGAAGAACACCAGUGGCGAAGGCGGCCGGCUGGGGGCGCCCUGACGCUGAGGCGCGAGAGCGUGGGGAGCGAACCGG
rnacentral:rRNA from 1 species